UACAGAGGUCCCAAGCGUUGUUCGGAUUCACUGGGCGUAAAGGGUGCGUAGGCGGUCGGGUAAGUCUGGCGUGAAAUCUCCAAGCCUAACUUGGAACUGCGUUGGAUACUAUCCGGCUCGAGGAAUGGAGGGGAGACUGGAAUACUUGGUGUAGCAGUGAAAUGCGUAGAUAUCAAGUGGAACACCAGUGGCGAAGGCGGCUACCUGUCUGCGACUGACGCUGUGGCGCGAAAGCUAGGGGGAGCAAACGGGG
rnacentral:rRNA from 1 species